UGCUGUUCCCAGGUGGCAGUCCAAUGUCUGUUUGGCAGAGAUAGUGAGAGCGGUUGUACUAAGUUAGAUGGGCUAAAGGUGUUAACAUAACCCGCUCCUUGUCCAACAUCGAACAGUGUCGAACAAGGUUCAGGACUUGGUGUGCAGAGACCUCAGCAAACACACCAUUAAAAAUCCUUUUAACCUUCUACUAGAAAUAAAGAAAAGAAGGGAAAAAAUAAGUAUUGAACAAACACACACACAAGGGGAGAGAAAAGACCAGCAAAGAGAAAAUACAGCUUCUGCCUUUGGUGUUGACUCUCACUUGCAACUUCACUGCUGAAAAAACAGGCACAGCACUCGGUCUGACCAGCUGCUCCAAGACCAGGGUGGUGACUGCCACUGAAUUGCCUAUAAAUAAAAGAUGAACGAUCCAAUGAUGUGAUCAAAGGAAAGAAGGGAGCGGCUGAAUGUAAUCAUCUGAAGAGAUGCAGUGGUCUCCUCUGCGGUGAUGAUGAUGGUGGUGGUGCAAUUGGGGGUUAAUAAAUUAUUCCUACAUCUCAGAAAUCACUGAUCCUGCAUUUCUGAGGCCAAAUGCACCAGCAGAGUCCGUCUGCUUUGCUGGUCAGUUAAAAUGGGUUUGCAGCUGCUUUCCAUCCCCAAAGCAGUGCAUAGCGGCUGGAACAGAUGUGGACAGAAACAUACAUUUCCCAAGCAGAGAUUGAUUAUUAUCACUCUCCAGCUACCAAAGUCUGUGUUUAAUUAACAUGAAGGGCCAGGGUUUUUUAUACCAGCUGAAGGGAAACUGUUCGUAUUCAGGUGAAAGGGGUAUCAUCCGAUUAAAAAACAUACGUUCUCCUUGUCUCACCACACAAGGAACAUUCGAUGGAACUCCAAGGUAGAAAAAUCAAAUCUGAGAAAAGGAAAUAAUUUUCCACACAACAUGCAAUUAGCCUGUGGAACUCACUGCCACAUGUCUGAGGCUAAGAACUUAUUAAGAUUCCAAGGUGGAUUGGAGGGUUUCAUGGAGAACUAGAACAGUCAGCAUCAUACCAGUUAACGGUAACAGAUUUUUUUGAAGGGAUUAAAAAAAUAUAGAAUGCUUAUGUGUCACAGCUUGAACCUGUCUCUGAAUAUUAAGGAUCAGGCUGAGACCUUCGUGGGGGCAGAUUACCCUACAUCUCACUACUGUAGGGUUCUUGUGCCUUCCAGGGAAGCAGCUGAUGCUGGCUACUGUCAGAGUUGGGAUACGGCACUAGAUGGAGCACAAGUCUGAUCCAGGCUGCCAAUUCCUCUGUAGGGACUAAGAGUAGGCUCCUUCUGUGCUCCUGUGGAAACAACGCAACUGUCUCCAAAUCCUAGGCUGGAUGUAGCAAUCAGUUCUAUCCCAAGAAUGUGGGGUUUGCACUCUUCACAAUGCACACUGAAUUCUGUAGAGGAGAUAAUAAGUGUCGUGCCUCACCCAGAAGCCGAUCCCAAGCCCACUGGAUUCAAUGGGAGUCUUUCCAAUUACUUCAGUGCAUGCUGGAUCACCCAGGAAACCAAGCCCAAGGACUGUUUUCUUCCAGCUGCAGUGCGCUCCAGAGACUGGCCAUGAGAUGAAGAGGGCAGGUGGUCUCGGUUCUACUCCUGAGUGCCCCACUGACUUUCACGUGCCCUGAGCACACUAUAGAGUCAAUUUGUGACCUUGGACAAAUCUGGUAGGCCACCAUUUCCAAAAAUAGGGGUCUAGAGUUAGGCGUGUUGAGCCACAUGUAGGCCGCUAAAGGAGUGGUCUGGUUUUUCAGAGGUGCUGUGCACCCAGCAGCUCCCACUGAAUCAAUUGUCUCACAAAUUCAUGCCCCUUUAGGCCUGAUCCAAAGGCCAUUGAAGUUAAUGGAUCAGGGUCUUAGCUAAGUGCCUCAACAUGGAUUUAGGUGCCUAAGUGUGGCCCCUGACUUCGAAAAGUUUGACCUAUCUGCAUAGACUGUAUAGACUGUCGGUCCUUCAUCAGUUGAAACUGAGCCGAUCACAACACGUCUUCCAAUCUUCUCUAGCUCUGGCCAUCCUUCACCAUGCUUGUCCAUAUCUCCUUGUUAGGAAAUCAUCCCACCUCUCUGGAGCCCGACUGCGUGGCCGUUUCUGUUCUCGUGGAUACCACUCGGAUAUAGCUACAGUCCAUCUGUUGUCGCUGAGUCGGGCCACAUGUCCCGCCCACUGCAUUUUGCUGAGCCUGCUUUCAACAACCAUGUCUUGCACUCCAGACUGUUCCGUAAUUAUUUCAUUGAUCUAUCUAAGUGCUUAUUAUUAGGUAAGUCACCAAACAUAGGCUGGGGUCUGUAAACUGUGUGCUCAGAAAACCCUGCAGCUGCGCUGAUUCAGGUAGAGGGGAUGUGGCUGAUCUGACACUUCAUGUGACGGCAGCUCCCUGCCAAGGGUCCAGACGUCUAAACAGCUUCUGAACCAGGCUGAGGUGAAGUGCCACGAUCUGCCAUCAGAACAGUCACAUGCAGGGCUGGCCCUUCCUGUACCUGAUUUCUCCUGUGCUCACUUUAACAAAAGGGCUAGUCUUGCCACAUGGACACUAGCCCAUCUUUUUCAAGGCCCCCACUUUAGCUUGCCAGGUGCAACGUAGAUGCACAACAUCUGCAUGGGGAGAUGCGUUGAUCUCCACUUGCUCUGCCACUAUGGAAGUUGCACUGUUCAUUAAUUAACUGCUUGGACCCAGUCUGGCCUCCUGUGGGCAACUGUUGUGGCUGUUUCAAA